rnacentral:sRNA from 1 species
AUCCACCUGUUGCGGACUGAUGAAAUGAAUAUGGGUAUCAAUACCGCCGGCUGUCAGAAUUUUACCCUCACCGGCAAUGAUUUCCGUUCCCGGCCCGAUGAUAAUCGUCACACCGGGCUGCACAUCCGGAUUGCCUGCCUUGCCGAUAGCGACAAUCAGCCCGUCCUUCAGGCCGAUAUCGGCUUUAUAGAUCCCCGUAACAUCAACAACAAGGGCAUUGGUGAUCACCGUGUCAACCGCACCCUGUGCGCAUGAAAGCUGGCUUUGCCCCAUUCCGUCACGGAU